rnacentral:rRNA from 1 species
GAUGAACGCUGGCGGCGUGCCUAAUACAUGCAAGUCGAGCGAAUGGAUUAAGAGCUUGCUCUUAUGAAGUUAGCGGCGGACGGGUGAGUAACACGUGGGUAACCUGCCCAUAAGACUGGGAUAACUCCGGGAAACCGGGGCUAAUACCGGAUAACAUUUUGAACCGCAUGGUUCGAAAUUGAAAGGCGGCUUCGGCUGUCACUUAUGGAUGGACCCGCGUCGCAUUAGCUAGUUGGUGAGGUAACGGCUCACCAAGGCAACGAUGCGUAGCCGACCUGAGAGGGUGAACGGCAACACUGGGACUAGGACACGGCCCAGACUCCUACGGGAGGCAGCAGUAGGGAAUCUUCCGCAAUGGACGAAAGUCUGACGGAGCAACGCCGCGUGAGUGAUGAAGGCUUUCGGGUCGUAAAACUCUGUUGUUAGGGAAGAACAAGUGCUAGUUGAAUAAGCUGACACCUUGACGGUACCUAACCAGAAAGCCACGGCUAACUACGUGCCAGCAGCCGCCGUAA